rnacentral:rRNA from 1 species
GACGGAGAAGGCUAUGUUGGCCGGGCGACGGUUGUCCCGGUUUAAGCGUGUAGGCUGGUUUUCCAGGCAAAUCCGGAAAAUCAAGGCUGAGGCGUGAUGACGAGGCACUACGGUGCUGAAGCAACAAAUGCCCUGCUUCCAGGAAAAGCCUCUAAGCAUCAGGUAACAUCAAAUCGUACCCCAAACCGACACAGGUGGUCAGGUAGAGAAUACCAAGGCGCUUGAGAGAACUCGGGUGAAGGAACUAGGCAAAAUGGUGCCGUAACUUCGGGAGAAGGCACGCUGAUAUGUAGGUGAAGUCCCUUGCGGAUGGAGCUGAAAUCAGUCGAAGAUACCAGCUGGCUGCAACUGUUUAUUAAAAACACAGCACUGUGCAAACACGAAAGUGGACGUAUACGGUGUGACGCCUGCCCGGUGCCGGAAGGUUAAUUGAUGGGGUCAGCGCAAGCGAAGCUCUUGAUCGAAGCCCCGGUAAACGGCGGCCGUAACUAUAACGGUCCUAAGGUAGCGAAAUUCCUUGUCGGGUAAGUUCCGACCUGCACGAAUGGCGUAAUGAUGGCCAGGCUGUCUCCACCCGAGACUCAGUGAAAUUGAACUCGCUGUGAAGAUGCAGUGUACCCGCGGCAAGACGGAAAGACCCCGUGAACCUUUACUAUAGCUUGACACUGAACAUUGAGCCUUGAUGUGUAGGAUAGGUGGGAGGCUUUGAAGUGUGGACGCCAGUCUGCAUGGAGCCGGCCUUGAAAUACCACCCUUUAAUGUUUGAUGUUCUAACGUGGACCCGUGAUCCGGGUUGCGGACAGUGUCUGGUGGGUAGUUUGACUGGGGCGGUCUCCUCCUAAAGAGUAACGGAGGAGCACGAAGGUUGGCUAAUCCUGGUCGGACAUCAGGAGGUUAGUGCAAUGGCAUAAGCCAGCUUGACUGCGAGCGUGACGGCGCGAGCAGGUGCGAAAGCAGGUCAUAGUGAUCCGGUGGUUCUGAAUGGAAGGGCCAUCGCUCAACGGAUAAAAGGUACUCCGGGGAUAACAGGCUGAUACCGCCCAAGAGUUCAUAUCGACGGCGGUGUUUGGCACCUCGAUGUCGGCUCAUCACAUCCUGGGGCUGAAGUAGGUCCCAAGGGUAUGGCUGUUCGCCAUUUAAAGUGGUACGCGAGCUGGGUUUAGAACGUCGUGAGACAGUUCGGUCCCUAUCUGCCGUGGGCGCUGGAGAACUGAGGGGGGCUGCUCCUAGUACGAGAGGACCGGAGUGGACGCAUCACUGGUGUUCGGGUUGUCAUGCCAAUGGCACUGCCCGGUAGCUAAAUGCGGAAGAGAUAAGUGCUGAAAGCAUCUAAGCACGAAACUUGCCCCGAGAUGAGUUCUCCCUGACCCUUUAAGGGUCCUGAAGGAACGUUGAAGACGACGACGUUGAUAGGCCGGGUGUGUAAGCGCAGCGAUGCGUUGAGCUAACCGGUACUAAUGAACCGUGAGG